GGUUAAGCGACUAAGCGUACACGGUGGAUGCCCUGGCAGUCAGAGGCGAUGAAGGACGUGCUAAUCUGCGAAAAGCGACGGCGAGGUGAUAUGAACCCUUGACCCGUCGAUGUCCGAAUGGGGAAACCCAGUGUGUUUCGACACACUAUCGUUAACUGAAUACAUAGGUUAACGAGGCGAACCGGGGGAACUGAAACAUCUAAGUACCCCGAGGAAAAGAAAUCAACCGAGAUUCCCCCAGUAGCGGCGAGCGAACGGGGAGCAGCCCGGAGUCUGAAUCAGCUUGUGUGUUAGUGGAAGCGUCUGGAAAGUCGCACGGUACAGGGUGACAGUCCCGUACACGAAAAUGCACAGGUUGUGAACUCGAAGAGUAGGGCGGGACACGUGGUAUCCUGUCUGAAUAUGGGGGGACCAUCCUCCAAGGCUAAAUACUCCUGACUGACCGAUAGUGAACCAGUACCGUGAGGGAAAGGCGAAAAGAACCCCGGCGAGGGGAGUGAAAAAGAACCUGAAACCGUGUACGUACAAGCAGUGGGAGCACCUUCGGGUGUGACUGCGUACCUUUUGUAUAAUGGGUCAGCGACUUAUAUUCUGUAGCAAGGUUAACCGUAUAGGGGAGCCGAAGGGAAACCGAGUCUUAACUGGGCGUUAAGUUGCAGGGUAUAGACCCGAAACCCGGUGAUCUAGCCAUGGGCAGGUUGAAGGUUGGGUAACACUAACUGGAGGACCGAACCGACUAAUGUUGAAAAAUUAGCGGAUGACCUGUGGCUGGGGGUGAAAGGCCAAUCAAACCGGGAGAUAGCUGGUUCUCCCCGAAAGCUAUUUAGGUAGCGCCUCGUGAACUCAUCUUCGGGGGUAGAGCACUGUUUCGGCUAGGGGGCCAUCCCGGCUUACCAACCCGAUGCAAACUACGAAUACCGAAGAAUGUUAUCACGGGAGACACACGGCGGGUGCUAACGUCCGUCGUGAAGAGGGAAACAACCCAGACCGCCAGCUAAGGUCCCAAAGUCAUGGUUAAGUGGGAAACGAUGUGGGAAGGCACAGACAGCCAGGAUGUUGGCUUAGAAGCAGCCAUCAUUUAAAGAAAGCGUAAUAGCUCACUGGUCGAGUCGGCCUGCGCGGAAGAUGUAACGGGGCUAAACCAUGCACCGAAGCUGCGGCAGCGACGCUUAUGCGUUGUUGGGUAGGGGAGCGUUCUGUAAGCCGUCGAAGGUGUGCUGUGAGGCAUGCUGGAGGUAUCAGAAGUGCGAAUGCUGACAUAAGUAACGAUAAAGCGGGUGAAAAGCCCGCUCGCCGGAAGACCAAGGGUUCCUGUCCAACGUUAAUCGGGGCAGGGUGAGUCGACCCCUAAGGCGAGGCCGAAAGGCGUAGUCGAUGGGAAACAGGUUAAUAUUCCUGUACUUGGUGUUACUGCGAAGGGGGGACGGAGAAGGCUAUGUCAGCCGGGCGACGGUUGUCCCGGUUUAAGCGUGUAGGUGUGUGUUCCAGGCAAAUCCGGUUCACUUUAACACUGAGGCGUGAUGACGAGGCACUACGGUGCUGAAGUGAUAAAUGCCCUGCUUCCAGGAAAAGCCUCUAAGCAUCAGGUAACACGAAAUCGUACCCCAAACCGACACAGGUGGUCAGGUAGAGAAUACCAAGGCGCUUGAGAGAACUCGGGUGAAGGAACUAGGCAAAAUGGUGCCGUAACUUCGGGAGAAGGCACGCUGAUAUGUAGGUGAAGUCCCUGCGGACGGAGCUGAAAUCAGUCGAAGAUACCAGCUGGCUGCAACUGUUUAUUAAAAACACAGCACUGUGCAAACACGAAAGUGGACGUAUACGGUGUGACGCCUGCCCGGUGCCGGAAGGUUAAUUGAUGGGGUUAGCGGCAACGCGAAGCUCUUGAUCGAAGCCCCGGUAAACGGCGGCCGUAACUAUAACGGUCCUAAGGUAGCGAAAUUCCUUGUCGGGUAAGUUCCGACCUGCACGAAUGGCGUAAUGAUGGCCAGGCUGUCUCCACCCGAGACUCAGUGAAAUUGAACUCGCUGUGAAGAUGCAGUGUACCCGCGGCAAGACGGAAAGACCCCGUGAACCUUUACUAUAGCUUGACACUGAACACUGGUCCUUGAUGUGUAGGAUAGGUGGGAGGCUUUGAAGCGUGGACGCCAGUCUGCGUGGAGCCGUCCUUGAAAUACCACCCUUUAAUGGCUGGUGUUCUAACGUGGACCCGUAAUCCGGGUUGCGGACAGUGUCUGGUGGGUAGUUUGACUGGGGCGGUCUCCUCCCAAAGAGUAACGGAGGAGCACGAAGGUUAGCUAAUCCUGGUCGGACAUCAGGAGGUUAGUGCAAUGGCAUAAGCUAGCUUGACUGCGAGAGUGACGGCUCGAGCAGGUGCGAAAGCAGGUCAUAGUGAUCCGGUGGUUCUGAAUGGAAGGGCCAUCGCUCAACGGAUAAAAGGUACUCCGGGGAUAACAGGCUGAUACCGCCCAAGAGUUCAUAUCGACGGCGGUGUUUGGCACCUCGAUGUCGGCUCAUCACAUCCUGGGGCUGAAGUAGGUCCCAAGGGUAUGGCUGUUCGCCAUUUAAAGUGGUACGCGAGCUGGGUUUAGAACGUCGUGAGACAGUUCGGUCCCUAUCUGCCGUGGGCGCUGGAGAAUUGAGGGGGGCUGCUCCUAGUACGAGAGGACCGGAGUGGACGCAUCACUGGUGUUCGGGUUGUCAUGCCAAUGGCACUGCCCGGUAGCUAAAUGCGGAAGAGAUAAGUGCUGAAAGCAUCUAAGCACGAAACUUGCCCCGAGAUGAGUUCUCCCUGAGACUUUAAGUCUCCUGAAGGAACGUUGAAGACGACGACGUUGAUAGGCCGGGUGUGUAAGCGCAGCGAUGCGUUGAGCUAACCGGUACUAAUGAACCGUGAGGCUUAACCUU
rnacentral:rRNA from 1 species